rnacentral:rRNA from 1 species
UGGGUAACCUGCCUUAUAGUGGGGGAUAGCCUUUCGAAAGGAAGAUUAAUACCGCAUAAGAUUGUAGUAUCGCAUGAUAUAGCAAUUAAAGAAGCAAUUCGCUAUAAGAUGGACCCGCGUCGCAUUAGCUAGUUGGUGAGGUAAUGGCUCACCAAGGCGACGAUGCGUAGCCGACCUGAGAGGGUGAUCGGCCACAUUGGGACUGAGACACGGCCCAGACUCCUACGGGAGGCAGCAUG